rnacentral:rRNA from 1 species
UACGUAGGGGGCUAGCGUUGUCCGGAAUCAUUGGGCGUAAAGCGCGUGUAGGCGGCCCGAUAAGUCCGCUGUGAAAGUCCAGGGCUCAACCCUGGGAUGCCGGUGGAUACUGUCGGGCUCGAGUCCGGAAGAGGCGAGUGGAAUUCCUGGUGUAGCGGUGAAAUGCGCAGAUAUCAGGAGGAACACCAAUGGCGAAGGCAGCUCGCUGGGACGGUACUGACGCUGAGACGCGAAAGCGUGGGGAGCAAACAGG